GUGAGGUAAUGGCUCACCAAGGCUUCGACGGGUAGCCGGCCUGAGAGGGCGACCGGCCACACUGGGACUGAGAUACGGCCCAGACUCCUACGGGAGGCAGCAGUGGGGAAUAUUGCACAAUGGGCGCAAGCCUGAUGCAGCAACGCCGCGUGCGGGAUGACGGCCUUCGGGUUGUAAACCGCUUUCAGUAGGGACGAAGCGUGAGUGACGGUACCUACAGAAGAAGGACCGGCUAACUACGUGCCAGCAGCCGCGGUGAUACGUAGGGUCCGAGCGUUGUCCGGAAUUAUUGGGCGUAAAGGGCUUGUAGGCGGUCCGUCGCGUCAGGAGUGAAAACUCAGGGCUUAACCCUGAGCCUGCUUUUGAUACGGGCGGACUAGAGGGAUGCAGGGGAGAACGGAAUUCCUGGUGGAGCGGUGGAAUGCGCAGAUAUCAGGAGGAACACCGGUGGCGAAGGCGGUUCUCUGGGCAUUACCUGACGCUGAGAAGCGAAAGCGUGGGGAGCAAACAGGCUUAGAUACCCUGGUAGUCCACGCCGUAAACGGUGGGCACUAGGUGUGGGGGACAUUCCACGUCCUCCGUGCCGAAGCUAACGCAUUAAGUG
rnacentral:rRNA from 1 species